ACGCUGGCGGCGUGCCUAAUACAUGCAAGUAGAACGCUGAAGGAAGGAGCUUGCUCUUUCCGGAUGAGUUGCGAACGGGUGAGUAACGCGUAGGUAACCUGCCUGGUAGCGGGGGAUAACUAUUGGAAACGAUAGCUAAUACCGCAUAAUAUUGAUUAUUGCAUGAUAGUCAAUUAAAAGGUGCAAUUGCAUCACUACCAGAUGGACCUGCGUUGUAUUAGCUAGUUGGUGGGGUAACGGCUCACCAAGGCGACGAUACAUAGCCGACCUGAGAGGGUGAUCGGCCACACUGGGACUGAGACACGGCCCAGACUCCUACGGGAGGCAGCAGUAGGGAAUCUUCGGCAAUGGACGGAAGUCUGACCGAGCAACGCCGCGUGAGUGAAGAAGGUUUUCGGAUCGUAAAGCUCUGUUGUAAGAGAAGAACGAGUGUGAGAGUGGAAAGUUCACACUGUGACGGUAUCUUACCAGAAAGGGACGGCUAACUACGUG
rnacentral:rRNA from 1 species